GCUAAAAAUCUAGCUCUUCUCAUUCCUAUGAAUACCCCACCUCCUAACCAAUUAAUAAAUCAUUUUUUACAUAAAGUAAAGGCGAUAGAAAAAUGCCUAGAAGCUAUAGAAAGUAGUACCGCAAGGGAAAGAUGAAAUAAUAAUGAAAAAUUUACAAGCACCAAAAAGCAGAGCUGUAACCUCGUACCUUUUGCAUCAUGGUCUAACUAGUCUAAUCAAGCAAAAUGCAUUUUUAGUUUGACCCCCCGAAACUAGGUGAGCUACUUAAAAACAGCCGUUAGGGCCAACCCGUCUCUGUUGCAAAAGAGUGGGAAGAUUUUUAAGUAGGGGUGACAGACCUAUCGAACCUAGAGAUAGCUGGUUAUUCAGGAAAAGGAUUUAAGUCCUACCUUAAAAUUUUUAUACACCCCCCCCAGUAUUCUCAAAAUUUUAAGAGCUAUUCAAAUAAGGUACAGCCUAUUUGAAACAGGAUACAACCUCCAUCAAUGGGUAACAAAGUAUUUCCUCAACUAAGUGGGCCUAAGAGCAGCCACCUUUAAAAAAGCGUUAAAGCUUUAUUGUUAAAUUAAAAAAUUCCAUUAACUAUAUAAAACCCUUAAUUCUGUACUGAAUAAUUUUAUAACUAUAUAAAAACGCAUAUGUUAGAACUAGUAACAAGAAGAAGUACUUCUCCAAAAUGUAAGCAUAAGCCAGAAUGAACCCUUCACUGGCAAUUAAAGUCAAUAAACCCCUAGUAGUAACCAAUCAAGAAAACCCUACUACUACAAACGUUAACCUUACACCAGCACAUUUCCGGAAAGAAAUAAAGAGGAGGAAGGAACUCGGCAAAUAACCUAACCCCGCCUGUUUACCAAAAACAUCGCCUCUUGCCAUCUAUAAGAGGUCCAGCCUGCCCAGUGACAAAGUUAAACGGCCGCGGUACCCUAACCGUGCAAAGGUAGCGCAAUCACUUGUUCUUUAAAUGAGGACUAGUAUGAACGGCAUCACGAGGGUUAUACUGUCUCCCCCCUUUUUUCAGUGAAACUGAUCUUCCCGUGAAGAAGCGGGAAUAUUAAUAUAAGACGAGAAGACCCCAUGGAGCUUUAAACUCAGAAUCAACUGCCACAAAAUUAACCUAAUAAUCACGCAGAAGUGACUUCUAGUUUUCGGUUGGGGUGACCGCGGAGUAAAAUAAAACCUCCACGACGAAAGGAACUAACCUCCUAACCUAAGAGCCACAGCUCUAAGUAUUAAAACAUUAACCUAAUUGAUCCAAUUACUUGAUCAACGAACCAAGUUACCCUGGGGAUAACAGCGCAAUCCAUUUCAAGAGCUCAUAUCGACAAAUGGGUUUACGACCUCGAUGUUGGAUCAGGAUAUCCAAGUGGCGCA
rnacentral:rRNA from 1 species